AUGAAGUACCAUGCCAUGAAAUGUGGAACGUGGCUUCCUGAACAAUGGCAGACAUUCUGAAUGUUGAAAUGUGAAGGUGCAGGGGAAUUUGUUCACCAUGGAUUGAAAGUUAACCAAACAGAAAUGGCAGCUAGGAGACAGCCAGACAUGCAAUUUCCUUCUAGUCCUUCAGUUCUUCAUGCUGAUGGACACCUGCAUAUUGAAUUACUUCAUCUCAGGCAAACUUACUACAGAAGAAAACAAGAAACUACAAUGGAAAAUUAAAAUCACCCAAAAUGAUGAACAGUUAAGUUAUAAAUGAAUGCUGACAAUAGAAAACAGUUAGCAUAAUGUCUUGUGUAGUUUAAAUAUAUGUAGAAGUAAGAUGAAUUUAACAAUGACACAAAAUCUGAAAUGGAGUAAACACAUUUCAAAUGUUCUCUAAUUCUAACAGUAUUGGAUGAACUGGUAGAGAAAAUAAUUUGUAUUCAAUAUAAUAAAUAAAACACAGAAAAUGUAAUGUCUUAUAAUAUUUAGUAGAACCAGUAAAAGAGUAUUGAAAGAAUGUAACUAAGAAGCCAAAUAAAGAAAAAAAAUUAUUAUUUCAAAA
rnacentral:lncRNA from 1 species